rnacentral:rRNA from 1 species
AGUCGAGGAUCUUUCGCAAUGGGCGAAAGCCUGACGAAGCGACGCUGUGUGAGCGAUGAAGGCCUUCGGGUUGUAAAGCUCUUUCGCAUAAGAACAAGAGAGGUUGGUGAAUAACCAGCCGAUUUGAGUGUACUAUGUAAAGAAGCACCGGCUAACUCC